GUGGGGAAUAUUGGACAAUGGGCGCAAGCCUGAUCCAGCCAUGCCGCGUGAAUGAUGAAGGCCUUAGGGUUGUAAAGUUCUUUCGCCAGGGACGAUAAUGACGGUACCUGGAUAAGAAGCUCCGGCUAACUUCGUGCCAGCAGCCGCGGUAAUACGAAGGGGGCUAGCGUUGCUCGGAAUUACUGGGCGUAAAGGGCGCGUAGGCGGACAGCUUAGUCAGAGGUGAAAGCCCAGGGCUCAACCUUGGAAUUGCCUUUGAUACUGGCUGUCUUGAGUUUGGGAGAGGUGAGUGGAACUCCGAGUGUAGAGGUGAAAUUCGUAGAUAUUCGGAAGAACACCAGUGGCGAAGGCGACUCACUGGCCCAAUACUGACGCUGAGGCGCGAAAGCGUGGGGAGCAAACAGGAUUAGAUACCCGAGUAGUCC
rnacentral:rRNA from 1 species